AUUGAACGCUGGCGGCAGGCCUAACACAUGCAAGUCGAGCGGAUGAAGGGAGCUUGCUCCUGGCUUCAGCGGCGGACGGGUGAGUAAUGCCUAGGAAUCUGCCUGGUAGUGGGGGAUAACGUCCGGAAACGGGCGCUAAUACCGCAUCCGUCCUGAGGGAGAAAGUGGGGGAUCUUCGGACCUCACGCUAUCAGAUGAGCCUAGGUCGGAUUAGCUAGUUGGUGGGGUAAAGUCCUACCAAGGCGACGAUCCGUAACUGGUCUGAGAGGAUGAUCAGUCACACUGGAACUGAGACACGGUCCAGACUCCUACGGGAGGCAGCAGUGGGGAAUAUUGGACAAUGGGCGAAAGCCUGAUCCAGCCAUGCCGCGUGUGUGAAGAAGGUCUUCGGAUUGUAAAGCUCUUUAAGUUGGGAGGAAGGGAAGUAAGUUAAUCCCUUGCUGUUUUGACGUUACCAACAGAAUAAGCACCGGCUAACUUCGUG
rnacentral:rRNA from 1 species